rnacentral:rRNA from 1 species
CGCGGCCUAUCAGCUUGUUGGUGGGGUAGUGGCUUACCAAGGCUUUGACGGGUAGCCGGCCUGAGAGGGUGACCGGCCACAUUGGGACUGAGAUACGGCCCAGACUCCUACGGGAGGCAGCAGUGGGGAAUAUUGCACAAUGGGCGGAAGCCUGAUGCAGCAACGCCGCGUGCGGGAUGACGGCCUUCGGGUUGUAAACCGCUUUCGCCUGUGACGAAGCGUGAGUGACGGUAAUGGGUAAAGAAGCACCGGCUAACUACGUGCCAGCAGCCGCGGUGAUACGUAGGGUGCGAGCGUUGUCCGGAUUUAUUGGGCGUAAAGGGCUCGUAGGUGGUUGAUCGCGUCGGAAGUGUAAUCUUGGGGCUUAACCCUGAGCGUGCUUUCGAUACGGGUUGACUUGAGGAAGGUAGGGGAGAACGGAAUUCCUGGUGGAGCGGUGGAAUGCGCAGAUAUCAGGAGGAACACCAGUGGCGAAGGCGGUUCUCUGGGCCUUUCCGGACGCUGAGGAGCGAAAGCGUGGGGAGCGAACAGGCUUAGAUACCCUGGUAGUCCACGCUGUAAACGGUGGGUACUAGGUGUGGGGUCCAUUCCACGGGUUCCGUGCCGUAGCUAACGCUAUAAGUACCCCGCCUGGGGAGUACGG